rnacentral:rRNA from 1 species
AUUGAACGCUGGCGGCAGGCUUAACACAUGCAAGUCGAGCGGAGAUGAGGUGCUUGCACCUUAUCUUAGCGGCGGACGGGUGAGUAAUGCUUAGGAAUCUGCCUAUUAGUGGGGGACAACAUUCCGAAAGGAAUGCUAAUACCGCAUACGUCCUACGGGAGAAAGCAGGGGAUCAUCGGACCUUGCGCUAAUAGAUGAGCCUAAGUCGGAUUAGCCUGUUGGUGGGGUAAAGGCCUAACAAGGCGACGAUCCGUAGCGGGGCUGGAAGGAUGAUCCGCCAAACAGGGACUGGAAAACGGCCCAGGCUCCUAACGGAAGCAACAAGGGGGAAUAAUGGACAAGGGGGGGAACCCUGAUCCAGCCAUGCCGCGUGUGUGAAGAAGGCCUUAUGGUUGUAAAGCACUUUAAGCGAGGAGGAGGCUACUGAGACUAAUACUCUUGGAUAGUGGACGUUACUCGCAGAAUAAGCACCGGCUAACUCUGUGCCAGCCGCCGCAGUAACAC